AUUGAACGCUGGCGGCAGGCCUAACACAUACAAGUCGAGCGGGGUUUUCGGACCUAGCGGCGGACGGGUGAGUAAUGCGUAGGAAGCUGCCCGAUAGAGGGGGAUACCAGUUGGAAACGACUGUUAAUACCGCAUAAUGUCUACGGACCAAAGUGUGGGACCUUCGGGCCACAUGCUAUCGGAUGCGCCUACGUGGGAUUAGCUAGUUGGUGAGGUAAUGGCUCUCCAAGGCGACGAUCUCUAGCUGGUUUGAGAGGAUGAUCAGCCACACUGGAACUGAGACACGGUCCAGACUCCUACGGGAGGCAGCAGUGGGGAAUAUUGGACAAUGGGCGCAAGCCUGAUCCAGCCAUGCCGCGUGUGUGAAGAAGGCCUUCGGGUUGUAAAGCACUUUCAGCGAGGAGGAAGGGGUGUGUGUUAAUAGUAUACACCUUUGACGUUACUCGCAGAAGAAGCACCGGCUAACUCUGUGCCAGCAGCCGCCGUAAGAC
rnacentral:rRNA from 1 species